rnacentral:rRNA from 1 species
GACGAACGCUGGCGGCGUGCUUAACACAUGCAAGUCGAACGGUAAGGCCCUUCGGGGUACACGAGUGGCGAACGGGUGAGUAACACGUGGGUGAUCUGCCCAGCACUUCGGGAUAAGCCUGGGAAACUGGGUCUAAUACCGGAUAGGACCACUGCCUGCAUGGGUGGUGGUGGAAAGCUUUUGCGGUGUGGGAUGGGCCCGCGGCCUAUCAGCUUGUUGGUGGGGUGAUGGCCUAACAAGGCGACGACGGGUAGCCGGCCUGAGAGGGUGACCGGCCACACUGGGACUGAGAUACGGCCCAGACUCCUACGGGAGGCAGCAGUGGGGAAGAUUGCACAAUGGGCGCAAGCCUGAUGCAGCGACGCCGCGUGAGGGAUGACGGCCUUCGGGUUGUAAACCUCUUUCAGCACCGACGAAGCGCAAGUGACGGUAGGUGCAGAAGAAGGACCGGCCAACUACGUGCCAGCCGCCGCGGUAA